AGCAUUUCAGGCCAAGCCGCUGGCUGCCUGGCUUCUGUUUUUACUCCUUUCCUUCUGUCCCUUUCUGGGACGAGCCACACCUUCUCUGCUUUCUCUGGGCCCGUCCAGGACGCUGGGCCCGGGGCCUGGCGCGGUGAGCUGCAGAUAGCCGGGGGCGCAGGGCAGCCCGGAGGCUGGAGGGCGACCUGGAAGGCUGGACCGGUUCGGGGCAUCUGGUGCUCAAGGAAAGUCAGCUCCCGCCGCCCCUCGGGGCCAGCUUGGCUUGAAGGAGUACUUUAGGACUCAGAACAACAGGAUGAAGACAGCAGCUAAAAUAGAACACACCAGCAGAGACGUUCAGCUCCUUGAGCUGUGCUUCCGAAGCUCAAGCAUGGCAGAGUGGCCUUGUUAAAUCAGAGUUCAGGGUGCCACCCUG
rnacentral:lncRNA from 1 species